rnacentral:tRNA from 1 species
GCCACGGUGGCGGAAUAGGUAGACGCGCAAGACUUAAAAUCAUGUGAAGGUAAUUCUUCGUGUGGGUUCGAUUCCCGCCCGUGGCA